UCCUCGAUGGUCUAGUGGUCAUGAUUUCCGCUUGUCAUCUAACUUGAGUUACAAGCGCGGGAGACCGGGGUUCGAUUCCCCGUCGGGGAG